GUCAAAAAAGCAGCAAAAACGUAGACAGAAACAGGAAGAAACAAAGAAAAGAAACAACACAAAACCCUCUUCUACUGGUUCCUAACUUGCAAUGCAUUCAUCAGCUUUUACAAGCAAUUGCAUUGGUUUUAGAAGAUGUGAACAGACCAGUAAAAGUUGUGCUCUCUAGCUUUUAUCUGUGCUCAACAUAUGUAAAUCAAAAGCAUAAGGUGAGCCAGCAGAACUUUGAAUAAACAAAACUAUUUCCGUGUUCCUUUGCACUCUGCUCAUCCUAAUCUACUCUUACCAAAAUGAUCAUAAUGCCCACUGUUUUUGAAUGUAGAAAAAAAGGAGCAUGGCUUGCAGCACUUGUGUUAAAAUAAAAUAAUUUGUUAAACUAAUGUCUGUUAUUUUUAGGUUUCUGAGGUCGUCAAUGGAUUCUUUCAGCCAGAGAAGUGACUGGAGCAGAUGCGUGACAUGAGAAUAGAACAGAAUAGUCUACUGGAACAUCAACUUAUUAAAAAAAAAAGAGAGAGAGAGCAAAAAAGAAAAAGAAAUAUAAACUUUAAUAUAUAAACUACUGUACUAUAUUUUUCUUAUUUUAAAUUGUAUAAUAUUACUGGAAUGUCAUCCAAUACACUUUAUAAGGUCUAUGAAAGUGGAUACAUUAUCAGGUAGCACAUGUCUUGCAUUUAGAUGUAGAACAUAUCAUAAUUGACUCUUCUAAAGCAUAUAUAAAGCAUAUAUACUCAUCAAAUCUUACUCAAUUAAUGGGAGUUAAAAGAGUAAAAAGCAUGUUUGUUUACAUUUACAUGGAUAUUUACAUAUAUUCACUCUGCAGUUUGUUUGACAAAAGGACUUAACAAAUGAGGACAAAAAGGAAAAUAAAUAUUUUACAACUCCGAUUCCCCAAAAGUUGUAAAUGCAAUAAAAAUCAAGAAUCUGUGAUUUGUUAAUUCUCUUUAACCUUUAUUUAACUGAUAAAAGUACAUAGAAA
ensembl:lncRNA